rnacentral:rRNA from 1 species
GACGAACGCUGGCGGCGUGCUUAACACAUGCAAGUCGAACGGAAAGGCCCUGCUUUUGUGGGGUGCUCGAGUGGCGAACGGGUGAGUAACACGUGAGUAACCUGCCCUUGACUUUGGGAUAACUUCAGGAAACUGGGGCUAAUACCGGAUAGGAGCUCCUGCUGCAUGGUGGGGGUUGGAAAGUUUCGGCGGUUGGGGAUGGACUCGCGGCUUAUCAGCUUGUUGGUGGGGUAGUGGCUUACCAAGGCUUUGACGGGUAGCCGGCCUGAGAGGGUGACCGGCCACAUUGGGACUGAGAUACGGCCCAGACUCCUAAGGGAGGCAGCAGUGGGGAAUAUUGCCCAAUGGGCGGAAGCCUGAUGCAGCAACGCCGCGUGCGGGAUGACGGCCUUCGGGUUGUAAACCGCUUUCGCCUGUGACGAAGCGUGAGUGACGGUAAUGGGUAAAGAAGCACCGGCUAACUACGUG